rnacentral:rRNA from 1 species
CCUACGGGUGGCAGCAGUGGGGAAUCUUGCGCAAUGGGCGAAAGCCUGACGCAGCAAUGCCGCGUGAGGGAAGAAGGUCUUAGGAUUGUAAACCUCUUUCAGCAGGGACGCGGUACCUGCAGAAGAAGCCCCGGCUAACUACGUGCCAGCAGCCGCGGUAAUACGUAGGGGGCGAGCGUUGUCCGGAAUCAUUGGGCGUAAAGAGCGUGUAGGUGGACUGGAAGGUCUGGUGUGAAAGCCCGGGGCUCAACCCCGGAGGGUCACUGGAAACCAACAGUCUUGAGUCCGGAAGAGGAGAGUGGAAUUCCUAGUGUAGCGGUGGAAUGCGCAGAUAUUAGGAGGAACACCAAUGGCGAAGGCAGCUCUCUGGUACGUACUGACACUGAGACGCGAAAGCGUGGGGAGCGAACAGGAUUAGAUACCCUGGUAGUC